AGAUUUUGCUCAAAAAAACAACAACAUGCAUAAAUAAAUGGACUGCAUUUACAUAGCGCUUUUCCAUCUGCAUCAGACGCUCAAUGCGCUUCACAAAUAAUGUGUCACAUUCACCCGGAUGUGAGGGUGCUAUCAUACAAGGUGCUCACUACACACCAGGAGCAACUAGGGGAUUAAGGACCUUGCCCAAGGGCACUUAGUGAUUUUCCAGUCAAGCUGGAAUUUGAACUGAGGAUCCUCUGGUGUCAAG